rnacentral:rRNA from 1 species
GACGAACGCUGGCGGCGCGCUUAACACAUGCAAGUCGAGCGAUGAAACUUUAACAGAACCCUUCGGGGCGAAGAUAAAGUGGAUUAGCGGCGGACGGGUGAGUAACACGUGAGUAACCUGCCUUAGACAUUGGGAUAGCCUCGGGAAACCGGGAUUAAUACCAAAUAAAAUCAUAAUGACACAUGUCAUAACGAUCAAAACUCCGGUGGUCUAAGAUGGACUCGCGUCCCAUUAGCUAGUUGGUAGAGUAAAAGCCUACCAAGGCGACGAUGGGUAGCCGGGCAGAGAGGGUGAGCGGCCAGCUUGGAAGUGGGAAACGGGACGAGAUCCUGAGGGAGGCGGCGAUGGGGAAUAUUGCAAAAUGGAGGGAACGCAGAUGGGGCGACGCCGCGUAAACGAAGAGGGUUUUCGAAUAAUAAAGUUCUUAUAUAUGGGAAGAGAAUGACGGGAACAUAAGAAAAAGGCCCGGGUAACUACGUG